rnacentral:rRNA from 1 species
AGCAGCCGCGGUAAUUCCAGCUCCAAUAGCGUAUAUUAAAGUUGUUGCAGUUAAAAAGCUCGUAGUUGAAUUUCGGAACCGAUGGAUCGGUCACGCCAUUCGGUGUGUACUGGUUUAAUUGGUUCUCACCUUCUAAGGAACCGUGAUGUCAUUAAUUUGGUGUCGCGGGGAAUUAGGACUGUUACCUUGAAAAAAUUAGAGUGUUUAAAGCAAGCUCACGCUUGAAUACAUUAGCAUGGAAUAAUGAAAUAGGACAUUGUAUUCUAUUUUGUUGGUUUCUAGGAUCGAUGUAAUGAUUAAUAGGGAUAGUUGGGGGCAUUAGUAUUCAAUUGUCAGAGGUGAAAUUCUUGGAUUUAUUGAAGACUAACUACUGCGAAAGCAUCUGCCAAGGAUGUUUUCAUUAAUCAAGAACGAAAGUU